UAUCAAUCAUGUCCCACUAUAAGCUCC
rnacentral:piRNA from 1 species